rnacentral:misc_RNA from 1 species
GUAUUUUCCAGAUUCCUGGUGUGGGCAGUCGAGGUUCUUGCUGGGAAGUUGGAAUUCUGUUCGGUGGUGAUGAGGGCCGUGGAGGUUGUUGCUACUGGCUACUAGUAAGCAAUUAAUAACGUAUGCUCGUUAAAAUCCAACUUGUCGCUCGCUCGGGCUUGGGAUGAGGUAAAACGACUGUCGUUAGUUUUAGGUAUUAUUAUGCCCCAUUUUUCCUUCUCUU